rnacentral:rRNA from 1 species
AUUGAACGCUGGCGGCAGGCCUAACACAUGCAAGUCGAGCGGAUGAAGGGAGCUUGCUCCUGGAUUCAGCGGCGGACGGGUGAGUAAUGCCUAGGAAUCUGCCUGGUAGUGGGGGAUAACGUCCGGAAACGGGCGCUAAUACCGCAUACGUCCUGAGGGAGAAAGUGGGGGAUCUUCGGACCUCACGCUAUCAGAUGAGCCUAGGUCGGACUAGCUAGUUGGUGGGGUAAAGGCCUACCAAGGCGACGACCCGUAACUGGUCUGAGAGGAUGAUCAGUCACACUGGAACUGAGACACGGUCCAGACUCCUACGGGAGGCAGCAGUGGGGAAUAUUGGACAAUGGGCGAAAGCCUGAUCCAGCCAUGCCGCGUGUGUGAAGAAGGUCUUCGGAUUGUAAAGCACUUUAAGUUGGGAGGAAGGGCAGUAAGUUAAUACCUUGCUGUUUUGACGUUACCAACAGAAUAAGCACCGGCUAACUUCGUG